AACAUGACUUUGAUCUGCGUCCUCAUCUGGACUCUCCUCUGCUGCUGCUUCACAGAGUCCAGAGGACAGAUCACAGUGACUCAGCCUGGAGCAGUGAGCUCUGCUGUGGGAGGAACUGUGAGGAUCGAGUGUAAAGUCAGUGAGGAUGUUUUUGGCUCUAGCUUGUUAGCCUGGUACCAGCAGAAAGAUGGAGGAGUUCCUAAAGUGCUCAUUUAUACUGCUACCACUCGAAUAUCAGGGAUUCCAGCUCGUUUUACAGGCAGUGGAUCAAACUCUGACUUCACUCUGACCAUCAGUGGAGUCCAGGCUGAAGAUGCAGCAGUUUAUUACUGUCAGAGUUUUCAUGAGAUCAGCAGUCAAGCUGUGUUCACACAGUGAAAAACAGUCGUACAAAAACCUCCCUCAGUCAGACUGAACAGAAACUGAACUGACUGCUGCAGCUGGAAGAUACUGCAGAGACUGAUACAGUUCACUGAGGACACACACACACACACACACACACACACACACACACCUCAAAGUCUUUCUAAAAUAAUUGCAAAAUCAUUUCUUAGGCCUUGAUAAAACUCUAACUUUCAUAACUACUGUCUAACACUAAUGUUAAUGUGGGUUUGACUCAAAACAUCAGACUUGUGUCCAUCCUGACGAGCUAGUACAGAAGAACAUGUGAUACACACAAAACAAUUGAUACUGUGAGUCAGAUCUGUGAUGAAGAAACUCUCCUGUAAAUAUUCAAACUGGGAAGUAGUUAUUAAAUGAGAAUAUUUUAGUAAACUGCAGUACUGAUAUAUGUAUGUAUGUAGAUUGCUCAGCUACAGCUACAUUCUUGGUCACAGAAAUAUUUCACAUGAUUUGAUCUGAAGAUUUACUUUAAAGUUUAGUUCAUCAAGUCUUUAACUUCAUCUUUGUGACAUAAAUUAUUCUGACAUUUACACUUUUAAAACUGCACUGAUGUUCUGAA